ACGAGCGAGAGAGAGCUUGCUUUCUCGAGCGAGUGGCGAACGGGUGAGUAACGCGUGAGGAACCUGCCUCAAAGAGGGGGACAACAGUUGGAAACGACUGCUAAUACCGCAUAAGCCCACGGCUCGGCAUCGAGCAGAGGGAAAAGGAGCAAUCCGCUUUGAGAUGGCCUCGCGUCCGAUUAGUUAGUUGGUGAGGUAACGGCCCACCAAGGCAACGAUCGGUAGCCGGACUGAGAGGUUGAACGGCCACAUUGGGACUGAGACACGGCCCAGACUCCUACGGGAGGCAGCAGUGGGGAAUAUUGCACAAUGGGGGAAACCCUGAUGCAGCGACGCCGCGUGGAGGAAGAAGGUCUUCGGAUUGUAAACUCCUGUUGUUGGGGAAGAUAAUGACGGUACCCAACAAGGAAGUGACGGCUAACUACGUGCCAGCAGCCGCGGUAAAACGUAGGUCACAAGCGUUGUCCGGAAUUACUGGGUGUAAAGGGAGCGCAGGCGGGAAGACAAGUUGGAAGUGAAAUCUAUGGGCUCAACCCAUAAACUGCUUUCAAAACUGUUUUUCUUGAGUAGUGCAGAGGUAGGCGGAAUUCCCGGUGUAGCGGUGGAAUGCGUAGAUAUCGGGAGGAACACCAGUGGCGAAGGCGGCCUACUGGGCACCAACUGACGCUGAGGCUCGAAAGUGUGGGUAGC
rnacentral:rRNA from 1 species